UACGUAGGGUGCAAGCGUUGUCCGGAAUUAUUGGGCGUAAAGAGCUCGUAGGCGGUGUGUCGCGUCGGCCGUGAAAACCUGCAGCUUAACUGUGGGCUUGCGGUCGAUACGGGCAUCACUGGAGUUCGGCAGGGGAGACUGGAAUUCCUGGUGUAGCGGUGAAAUGCGCAGAUAUCAGGAGGAACACCGGUGGCGAAGGCGGGUCUCUGGGCCGAUACUGACACUGAGGAGCGAAAGCGUGGGGAGCGAACAGG
rnacentral:rRNA from 1 species